GACGAACGCUGGCGGCGUGCUUAACACAUGCAAGUCGAACGGGCCUUGUCCCCUUUUUUUUUGGGGGUGGGGUUAGUGGCGCACGGGUGAGUAACACGUGAGUAACCUGCCCCUCACUUCUGGAUAACCGCUUGAAAGGGUGGCUAAUACGGGGUGUUCUGGCCUGCUCGCAUGGGUGGGUUUGGAAAGAUUCGACCGGUUUUGGUUGUUUUGGUGGGGGAUGGGCUCGCGGCCUAUCAGCUUGUUGGUGGGGUGAUGGCCUGCCAAGGCUUUGACGGGUAGCUGGCCUGAGAGGGUGGGCGGUCACACUGGGACUGAGACACGGCCCAGACUCCUACGGGAGGCAGCAGUGGGGAAUAUUGCACAAUGGGCGCAAGCCUGAUGCAGCGACGCCGCGUGAGGGAUGGAGGCCUUCGGGUUGUGAACCUCUUUCGCCAGUGAAGAAGGUCCUGCUCUUUGUGGUGGGGUUGACGGUAGCUGGGUUAAUGAAGCGCCGGCUAACUACGUG
rnacentral:rRNA from 1 species